UUGCUACAUGUACAGUGUGCAAGUGUAAUAUUUAUUGGCUCAAUUGUAUGUACAUGUAUGACUAUAAUAUACAUGUGGAGGUUUACCAAUUCACUGGUAUAUACUGUACAUGUAUUCUCUUAACUCUUAUUGACUCACAGAUUGAUAAAGGAGUGUACAUAUCAAGGAAGCUAUUGUUUGCUGGUAUGCUGUUGAGAGUCAGUGGAUUGUGGACUAAAGGGGAAACUGUCAAGAGUGGAGUGCAGGGUGACUGGCUCUACCAGGAUUGUGUUUAGAUCAGCCUCAUUGCAAUUCUUCCUAUUCAUGCAAGUCAGUUCAGAGAUAUGGGAGUUUGAUCCCAAUGGUGAUACUUACUUUGAUGAAGCAGUUGAUGGUUUUUGAAGGAUCUCUUCUCCGUUUGUAAGGUGUGAUUCCAUUGAUAAACUCCAUAAAAGGUGUGAGACCAUUAAUUGAGAGAUACAGGACUCACAACAGUUCAAGGACUUCUACCAGUUUAUGUUUAAUGUUGCCAAAAACCUGGGGCAGAAAGGACUAGGCUAGUGACAUAAUAUUAUACAUGUG